AUUUACAAAUCACAUAUCUGACAAAGGACUUAUAUUCAGAAUAUAUAAAGAAUACUCAAAACUCAUCAAUAAUAGUCAAUCCAAUUUUAAAAAGGCAAAAGAUUUGAAAUCAUUUCACCAAAGAAAUGUAGAGGACAGAUAAGCACAUGAAAAUAUGCUCAGCAUCAUUAGUUGUUAGGGAAAUGCAAAUUAACACCACAAGACACUACUACACACCCACUAAAAUGGCUGAAAAAAAUUUAAAAGCCUAAACAAACCAAAAACCUGACAAUAUCAUGUGCUGAUGAGGAUGCAGAGCAAUGUUGCUGGGAAUGCAAAAUGAUGCAGCCACUGUGGAAAAACAGUUUGGGAGUUUCAGAUAAAAUUCAACAAACGUAUACCUUGCAACACAAUCUCACUCCUAGGUAUUUACGCAAGAUAAAGGAAAAUCUAUGUCAGCUUUAUUUGUAAAAAUAAAACGACCUAGAAACAAUUAAAAUGUCCCUCACCUGGAGAGUGGAUAGACAAACCGUGGCCCAUCUGCACAGUGCAGCCCUGCUCCACAGUGGAAAUGAAUGAACUGCACACAGAAACCUGUGUGCAUCUCAAAGGCAUUAUGCUGAUGGAAAGAAGGCAGACUCAAAAGGCUACAUAUUGUAUAAUUCCAUUUACAUGACAUCUGGAAAAGGCAAAAUUAUAGAGGAAGGUUUUUGCCAAGACUUAGGAUGGGGGACGGUUCCACUCCAUUGGUGCUAGAACUGCUCUACACCUUGAAUGUGGUGGUGAUUACACAACUCUAUGUAUUUGUCAAAACUCACAGAAUUGUCCCUUAAAAAGUAUAAAUUUUACUGUGUGUAAACUUAAAAAAUUUUAAAGGUAAUUAUUACUCAACUUUCCUAAUUACUUACAGUCAACCAUUAUGCUCUGGAGAGGACGUGUCUGUCGCGUCUGGGUGGUGCAGACAUGCUCCACAGUGGGCACCUGUGCUCCCACGCCCCCUUCCAGAUGCCGCCUUCGUGGCUGGAAAUCUGAUGUGGGAGAAUUUACACCAUGGACACUGGGAAACGCUACAAAUCAAGCCUUAAAGUGAUGAAGAAAACGUUUUUAAAAUGUUAAUAAUGCUGAUUAAAGUGUCAUCUAUCAGCACAAAAAUCUGAAGGAAUUGUCUUAGAGUAUUUGACAGGUAUAUGAUUUAGCAAAGAAGUCAUUCACUGAUGAACAAGUGAAACGCCCACAGAUGUUUUUGUUUUUUCACUUUCAUCUUACUCCGUAAGGUAAACAAAGUAUCAACCAGCAUUCCUGUCAGAACCAGGCUCCUUUGUCAAUUACAACUGUCAGUUGGCUAUGGAUGCAGGAUUUCAACAAAAAUCAGUGAAAGCCUGAGAGAAUGGAAGGGAGGUAGGGGGAGAAAAAGAGAGAAACAUUGAUGUGAGGGACACAUUGACUGGUUGCCUCCCCGAUAUGCCCAACCUAGGGCGGGGAGUGAACCCACAACCCUAUGCUCUAACCACUUAGAAACACUGGCCAGGGCAGUGCUGGUCAUAUUACUUUUGAGAUCAGGUUUUAAAAAAACCACGACUCCCAUCUGGUUGUUCUCCUGGAUGAUUCACUUGAGGGGAGCCAGUGAGCACAUGAUAAGCUGCUCUGUGGGAGGCCACAGGGCACGGAACCGAGGCCGCCUGCCAGCAGCCAGGAGGGAGUCUGGAAGCAGCUCCCCAGCCCAUCUGGCCUUCGGAGAGAGACUGAGCCUCACGAAAGACCGAGUCAGGACCUCCCUCAGAGCUGUUCCUGGAUUCCUGGCCUUCAGAAACUGAGGUAAUAAAUGUUUGUUGUUUUAGCUGCGAAGUUUUGGGGCAGUUUGUUACACAGCAAUAGGUAACUAAUACGAUGACCAGGUGAAAGUAAACAGGUGGUUGGACCCACCAUACAUUUUAAAGAUAAGAAUUUGGACAGAUCAAGUAUGAGAUACUAAGACAUUUAUGUGGAGAGUUUAGGAGGCAGGCAGUUAUAAGUCAGGAUACAGGAGAAGGCAGAAUUUGGACUGUACAUAAAGCCAGGAGUCUGGUUAAGUUUGGAAGAGUGAGUAGAGCCAGAGAGACCUGGGUAUUGAGCCCAGGGAAGCACAGCUUUUAAUGACUAGGAAACGGCGGUGAAGGAAGACAAAAUCAGAACCGAGUAUUCUGGAAGGCAAGUGAGGAACUUCUGAGAGCAGGGCCAUUCACCUGGGCACUUGUACGGUGAGAUUGGUAAGAUGAGGAAAGAGCCAAUCAAUCUGGUAAUGCUGACAGCUCCCUUAAGGGGGACGGUAGUAGAGUGGCCGGGAGGAGAGGGGCUGGAAUGGCAGAGAGAAUGCAAGUGAGGAAGAGGGGACACUACACACAUCUCUCUAAGGAGCUUUGCUGGGAAGGGACAUGGCGUUAGGAGGGCUAUUUUGGAGGCAGCUGUUAUCCUGGUGUGGUUAGAAGCUGAUAGAAACAACUCAGACGAGAAGGGGGUGAUACCCAUGGAGAUUUUAAGGACACUUCCAAGGUUUUGACCUUCCCCUUGAAGGGUGAACACUUGAGUUCCCGAGGAGCCAUAGGAAGAGUCUCCUUGUUGGGACACUGGGGGCAGAUCCGGGAGAUGUUUCAUGUAAAACGUGACUGCUGGAAGCAAAGAAAAACUACUUUAACUUCUUGGGCUUGGUUUCAAGGUGGACUUUAUUGGGAAAAGUUAGUGUAAAAAACAUUCGAAUUCAUAAAAUUUAAAUAGAUAGUAAAAUUAUACCUUGUAGCUAUAGUAAUCGCUAUAUUAAUCACAAAUAAGGUAAUGUCUAAAUUAUUGCCUAAGCAAAUGCUACUUUGUUAGGCUGCUGUAGUAAGCCCAAGGCAGGAAACACUGCAAUUAUUAGAAGUGAGCCCAAUGAUGUAUCUGCAUUUGGAGCUGAACAAAGGGAAACAAGCAAGUUCUGAUUAUGGCAUCAUAACAUUCUAGCCUGAGGAAGAAAAUAAGCAACUUUUUAAUAUGUCCUGCAGCAGAGCACAUUCGUGACUGUAACCAUGCAUUACAAUUCUCAUUUCACGUCAUAAAGAGAGUGAUCAGUGUUCUGCAUGAUACAUUGUUUUACUGAGUUUCAUGUGGUUUGUCCCUCUCAGGACCUUUCUAGAAACAUUUCCUCUCUGGGGACCACUUCCUAAGACACCCAGUUUGCUUGCCCUGGUCAUCUUUGGCAUUUAAUACCAGCCAACCUGCCCAGACCCUGGGCUGGUGGAAGACCCCUCCCUGAAAAAAGGGUGAGUCAGAUCUCUCCUUUUCUCAGACCCUAAUGCCACACAACUUGGUCAAGAAUGUCACUAACAAGUUAAUAUGGGAUUCUCUUUGGUUAUGGGAUUUUUAUUUAAGCUUAU